CAAAAUUUGCCUCCAAAUUUCUCAUUUCUAGCAACACCAAGUCAAUACACCUGCACCAUUCACAGUUCUUUUUCCAUUUCAUUUCUUCAAAGGUAGUAGUAGAAAGGGGAGUUCUAGGAAAUCUGGUCGAGAUUCGGCUGAAAAGAAAGAGCCAAUAACACCUAGAAGUGAUAGGCCUACAAGGGAAGCGAAAGUCGUAGAAAGGUAUUCAGCUCCUUCUGUUGCAAGGUCUUCCUCGUUUAAGAAAAAAGAACACCCUUUCAGUUUCAGUUUGAGGUUGGGCGGUUGCAAGGAACUGAUGUCAGGCAUGGAGGUCGCCAAAGAUCAAGAACUAGUAGACGGAACUGUUGCACAGGAAUCUGGAAAAUCCAUGCCGUCAUCUCAACAGGAGGUAUUAAUUCAAGCCCUCCGUCCCAAAUUGCAGGUAUUAAUUCAAUGCUUGUAAGAGAUAUUUAAUAAUAUUCCCUUCUUGUGUAAUGUAAGUUGACUUAAUUUUGGUCCAAAUCUGAUGGAUAACAUAGUGAGAAUUGUAUAUGUAAGUAUGUAUUUUAAGAAUUGUAGUAAAUUCCUCUGAUUAGUGAGAGCAAUAGAAUAGCCAGUCCAUUGUUAAUGCUGCAGGACAGUGCUGUCUAAAGAAAGUUCAAAUCAAUAUUGUCCACUUUUGUAGGAUUCAUUUAUUGGUCUAAAUUUUAGAUUAAUCCA